UAAGAGGGUUCUGUAAUCUUUAUUUAGAAGUACAUUCUAUACAUAUUAUUUUGUAAUAAUAGAGAUUUUGAGAGUUUGUGAAUACAUGACAAUCAUACCUAUUUUGUCAUCAGAAUUAGUUAAUUAUUUCAAUCAGAUUGUAAAUUUACUAAACAUAGCUAACUAGAUUUAAGAGCUUAUUAAUAGAAGCAAUGGUCUUAUUAAAUGAUAUUGGAUUUAAAACUAUGUAUAAGUUGGUACCCAGCUUUUCUUUGAAAAAAAAAUGUGGCAAAACUCUUGUUGAAGAAGGGAUUACUGAGUUAAAACUUUAGUAAAUGAUCUUCUCAACAAUGAAAAAUAUAUAUAUAUAUAUCAUUUCAGUUACAGCAGCUAUUUUUCAAAAAAUCUUACUAGUAAAAAUAAACAUUUCAGUAUAUUAAAGUUACUAUCAAUUUUAAUCAUAAUAAGAUUUCUGGAAAAAGAGUUGCAUAAUGUUAUUAUUUAGGUCCUUUCAGAUUUGUUUGUUGUGAUAUUGUCUGAGUAAAUUGAAAAUAAAACAUUAUUCCUUCAUAUGUUUCAGUGUUAGAAAAUCCAUAACGUAAUUUCAUAUUUUUUUUUUUAAUAAUCAGAACUGGGUUAGAUUCGUUUCUAAUAUCUGAUGAACUUUUUCUAUGAAUAGUAUGUGGUAAAUAUAAGAAAAAUGAUAGUAAGUGCUCUUUGAUGUGGUUAUACAAUAAUUUAGAUUAAUAAAACUAACUGUACCAAUUUUACUUCCCUAGAUGCACAUUUAAAAAAUGUUAUUUUUUACAGAAAAAACCUAAUUCAACAAAAAAUUGAAAAUUAAAAUUGAAUCGUUUGAUUCCAGAAAAGUGCCCAGUAGCAUAAAAAGCACAGAUAUCUGCAUUCAAAAAUUUUGUGUGAAUGAUGUUAAAAAAUGCAUUAUUUUCCUCAAGGCUAUCAAAUCGUUGUUUUCAUAUGUAAAAUAUUUCAUGAUAUUGGAUGCACUAAAGAAUGGAAGAAAAAAUACUCAAUAUAUAUGGUGUUCAUAUUUAGUAGGUUAUUAUUCAACAGAAAUAUUAUUGGAGUUUGAUUGAUAUCAAUAUAAUGCUUAACAUGAAGUAAAGGUAUUUUGCUAUAUUUUGAAAUUUUACAAAAGAACAUUAUGCAUGUAGAACUGUUGGCUGUUCCACAGAAAAGUACAUGGGACCCAGGGAAGGCACUUCAAAAUUUCAACUAUGGGUGGGUGUCAUCUAUGUUUUUGCAUAGUGGAAAUGUAAGUGAAAUUUUAAUUUGCCUCUAUAGAUGGUUACCCCAUUUUUAAAGUGCCUUCCCUGGAUACCAUGUAUGUUUUAAUGGAACACGAUUAUAUCUGAUUUUUUUUUAAAACCAAAUUUUAGAUGUAGUAUUUAUACAUCCAGAGGACAAUCAAUUGAAAUUAGUGUAAUAAAUAAUAGAAUGAAAAGACUGCUUGAUAAAAAAGAGUUCUUAAAAGCAAAAUAUCGACUUUCCCCUAUCCAAUAAUUUUAGAAAUAUCAUGUUAUUGCUAUGAAUCUUUUUCGUUUAAUUUAUGCUAUUUGUAUCAUAUUUACAAUUUCCAGUUGCAGUUCAACAAGUUCUAAAUGAUUAAAAACAUUUAUUAGAAUUUCAAAUUACUGCCAAAUUAUAUGUACUUGACCUAUUGGUGAGGACAAGUAUGUAAAUAUUAAAAUUGAAUGGUUUAUAGUGAGAAAUUGUGCUUGAAAGGGAUUUAUUUUUGAUGUCUUGUAACUUUCAUUAAACCAUCAGAAUCAUUUUUUAAAUGCCCAUAGUUUUGAUCGGUAAUGAUUUUAACUUCAUUUAUAUGUAUGUUAACAAACAGUUUUGUGCAUAAUUUAGGGCUUUUCCAUUAAAAUGUAUGUGGGAGGGUAGGAAGGGAAGUUUAAUUAUUGAAUGUGGGUCAUGGGUCUUUUUUCAGUAUGCGUCUAUCCAUUAUGCAAAAUUAUCUAAAAAAUGGUUCUUGGUUGUAGGGAUAUUUUGAAAGUCCCUUCCUACCCUCCCACAUACAUUUUAAUGGAAUAGCCCUUAAUGAAAUGUUAUCUUAAGACAAUUUAUAUGUUAGAAAAGGGCAUUUCCUUUGUCAUUGGUCAUAGUCAUGCUUUGUUAACAUAUUUAUUAAAAGUACUGAUAUUUAUAGCAUACAUAUUAUAGUAUUUUAUUAUCAUUGCAUAUGUGGUCUAUAGAAUAUUCCCAUGGCCAUGAUUUUCUUUAAAUUGAAAUGAGCCUCUAUAUGAAAAUUUAACUUUGGAUCAAGUUUGUAGAAUUAUGUUAUAGAUACUUAACCAAGGACCAAUAAAGUAAAUUUUCUACUCACACAAAUAGUGCUGUAAUACAUAACAAAAGAAUAACAGGAACUACAAAAAAUAUAGGACCAGUUUUACAUGCACACAAACUGCCACUUUUGCCUAGACUAUAUGUUGGAGUAGUUAAACUCAUUAUAAAAUAUUUGCAUGUAGGACUAAUUUCUCUUCUUGUUGUAUAUAUUCUAAUUUGUAAAAAGGGAUUCCUGUGGAUGUAUAUGCUAAAAUAAUCCUAUGAAAUUUAUUAAAGAAAACAUUUAAUAUAUCAAAAGAAGAGAUUUUUUAUUGCUGCAUGUUUUUCAUUUUUAAAGUAUAAAAGGUUCAAGAGACGAUGUAGCUUUGACUUAAUGAUGUUAAAUUUUCUUCAGCUGUGCAUUGAAAAAUCUCCCAAACAACCAUAGUUUGUCAAAUUAUAAAAAAAAAACUGAUACAUCUCUUGGAAAGUACUUUGAAAUUUUUGUCAUUUAUGAUAUAUAUAUUUUGUAUAGCUAAAAUAUUCAUUUGUUCCCAAAUAUUUGAAGAAAAAUAUAAAGACAAUCAGCAUAAAAAUUAUAAUAUUUAGUAUGAAAUAUUUAGACAGAUGCUUGUAUCUUAUGAACAUUGCACUUAAUUUGUCUAUAAUUUUGAUGUAUGAUGCAUUAACUUUUGAAAAAAUAUAAUUUCUGAAAAUGUUAAAAGCAAAAAUAAAAUAUGAAAAGUAAACUUUGUUUGAAGCUUAUUUCUGUUGUGUAUGGAAAUAUGAAUAGUACAUUUAUUCUUUGAUCUUGAUAUCCUUUAUAACUGGACACAGACUGUAUGUGCUGUAAAUGUUGUUUUAUUGCAAGAUGUUUAUUUUUGAUAAUUUGUUAGAUAAAUUAGUUUAUUUUAUUUUUAUAUUUGUUAUGGUUUAUUGUGUAUAGGUUAUUUUGCACGAGGGGAAAAUAUAUUGUAUUUAUUUUAUAAAAUUAAGGGUUGUUCUGAUAUAGCAGUUUAAAUAAGUUUUGUUAAGAAACACAUUUAUAUUAUUAUUAAUUAAAGGAUGGUGAUUUUUUUAAAUGGUAGCAUAUUCAAAUAGAAUAUUAGACAAAUAUGGAUAGUUGAGUUGCAGUUACUUCCCUUUUUUGCCAUGUUGGAGGGCAAACUGGAUUAUUAUGUUAUUUGACUAACCAACUUUAAUCAUGUGAUACAACUCAGUCUGAUAAAAGAUUCAUUCUAGGUUUGAAAUGAUGAAUUAAACAAGACUUAAACAAAUAAUUUUUUUUGAGGAAACCACUUUUUCUAAAGUCUAGCUGUCAGUUUGAUACAAUGAAUUUGGUAUAUUUACGAAAUGUUUACAUGUUAGCAUCAGAGGGAAAUAACUGUUACCCAAACUAGUCCAAUUUAAAACUACUAGAUAAGAAUACUUGUAGCUGAUCUCACAAUACAGACAAAAAAUUAAGCUAGAAAUACAGUAAAACCUGUACAUGAAGGUCACCUAUGGAACCAGAGCAAACUACUGUAUAAGAGAGGUGACAUUUAAAUAAACAGGUUUGACUGUAGUGGUAAAAUAAGGUGAUUGCUAUCUCCCUUAUGACAAUGUUUUGGAAUGUUUCUAGAUAUUCUUGCUGUGUUGAAGACCCAUUGGUGGCCUUGGGCUGUUUUUUGCUCUUUGGUCGUAUUGUUGUCUCUUUGACACAUUCCUCAUUUCCAUUCUUUAUUUUAUUAUUGUACAUUACAUUAAUAAAAAAAGUUGUCAUAUUAUUUAUUACAUUUAUGAUCAAAGGCAGUAUGUAAGGAAUGUUCCAACCCAUUUUACAAAAAGUGGUAAGAUCUCCAAAUAGUCAUAACAAUCUGUGGCUUUAAAAUAUUGAUGAAAAUAAAUCCAGAAAAGCUCUUCUGAAGCAUAAAAUUUAUAAAGUGUUUUCAUUGUACAAUAUAAGCAUUCCUUAAAUAGACUUAUGAUGUAAUCAUUUUAAAGUGGACAAAAUUUAUAAUUAAGCUCAGAAUAAUUCAUGUUUUAUAUGAAUAGGUUUGCUUUCAGUAGUUCAUCAUCAUUUUUUAGCAGAGAAACAUUUCAGAUCCUAACAAAAUAUGUAAUAUUGUAAUUUUCUAGUACAUAAUUUUGUUUUGAGCUUUGGAAGUAUUAUGAUUUAACUGUGUCACCUCUGACCAUUCCAUUUAUUCGUCAUAUUUGUUUUAAAGUAAUUAAAAAAGUUAUGACAUAGUUACUAGUAAAGAAAUGAUACUCGUAUUGUUUCAUUGAUACUAAAUAUUUCAUGAUUUUAAAAUGUCUUUUGAGUUUGAUAGAUGACUGCAUCAUUCCAUAAAAUGAACAGAAGAAUGAUUUUGUCAUGUGAUAUAAUACAAAAUUGUGACUGCCAUUUCAGUUGUGUGCCUGUUUAAUAUCAUGGUUUCAUUUUCAAUCAUAUUUGUAUUAUGUUAAAUGUAUUUUGUUCAUGAUUUUUGUUUAUAAUGUUGAAAUAAAGUGCUCCAAUACAUUA